CGACGUCACAAAACUGCGCCGCGAUUCGACUGUCUGCUGUUUCAGUUGCAGGUUUGUCUUAAGCAUUUAAUUUGAUAAAAACGAUGCAAACGUUCAAAGUUUCACAGCUUUACAGAUGUGUUCCAAACAAUAUGGUAAUGUUACAAGGAUAAUUUCGCAUUGGUAUGUUAAGUGCUGAUAGUGAUAUGCAUCUCUAUUAAAAAGAGAGUUUUUUUUUUUUUUUAAUGAGUCAUAGAUGGAUCGAAGUGAUCAUAAAGGUGAGAGUAGUGUCAGCCCAUUAUACACUGGAACAAAAUACGUUUUUGUUUAGUCUUUUUUGGCAUGUUUUCCUGAAUAAUAUCUAAAACUCCUUUAAAACAAUGUACAUUUACUUUAGGAGCUAUUCUGCAGGAAACAAAAUUUUUUAUUGGAGAAUGUUGAAAAUAAUAUUUAAUCAGGGCUUGACAUUGUCUGGGACAAAUUUAUGUUUGGAGGGGCAAGUGAAAGAGAAUUUUACUUGCCCAACUGGACAAGCAGACUGAUUAAAAUGUCAAUAAAUAAACAAAUAACCCGCCAUAUUUGUGAUAGCCUAGGCCUGUGUCACUUAUUAGAAAGUUCAUAUUCUUAUUCUGCUGUUGAAGGUAAUCCAGAGCACGUAAUUUUAUAAUUCGCUAGUGAUUUAGUAACAGCUGCACCCUGUUUGAUUGACAGGCAUCGUAUGUGUGUGUGCUGAACAUGCGCGUGUGUUCUGAAAAUGCUUUCUAAUGUGCACCUGAACAGUCAAAUACAUUUCAAAAUUCCGCCAAAAUGCCCGUCUUGGUGAGGUAUUCAUGUAAACACAGAGAGUGAUGUCUAAAGUGAACUAAAAAAGAAAAAAAGUGGAAUUUUAUUAAAAUGUCAGACUUGUAAGUACAAAUGUAAGCUAAUAAACAGACCUGCUGCUGUCUAGUGUGUCAUUAUAAUAAUCAAACAACCAUAACAAGAAAACACUCACUGCCCUUGACUGGGUAACUUUAGUAGCUUCUCGAGACUCGAGAACUGUUGCGACCGGAGCGUUCAGUCUGAUUUGUAGGGCUGCCCCUAAUAGUCAACCAAACGUUAGUCGAUGAGAAGAGUCUUGGUCGACCAAGUUUUGGUUGGUCGCAGAAAAAAAAAAACUCCACAGAAAACUGACGAACACUGGUAUUUCCGCUGUGCAUUAUGGCUAAACAUCUCCACUUUGGUCUUGUCUGUCCAAAGGACAUUGUUCCAGAAGUCUUGUGGUUUGUUCAGGUGCAACUUUGCAAACCUAAGCCGUGUUGCCAUGUUCUUUUUAGAGAGAAGAGGCUUUCUCCUGGCAACCCUUCCAAACAAACCAUACUUGUUCAGUCUUUUUCUAAUUGUACUGUCAUGAACUUUAACAUUUAACAUGCUAACUGAGGCCUGUAGAGUCUGAGAUGUAUGGAGCCCCUAAAGGGACAUUGAAAUUGUCCCUUUUUCAAAUCCUUUGCGUUCUCUCGCAAACCCCGUUAUGUUCUCUCGCGAAAUGUGUGUUAUCGCGAGAGACUUUUGUGCGGUACUUUGCGCCUCAGCAUCACCUGAAUGAUCAUCGCAUUCCUGUCUGGUGGUUCCUGCACUGGUGAAAGAUGUUGUCCAUCUUUCGCGCUCAACGAUGGAGGAGGACCUUCAACAGUUUUUAAGGUCACGACAUGUUCCCGAAGAGGACAUCAUUAACAUGAAAAGGGACAAGAUUGACAAAUCUGUCCUCUGUUAUGACUGAUGAGCAAAUGGCAAAGUAUAUCAGUUCAUAUGGUGACCGACUGGCUGUCCUCUCCUUCUGUCAACAAACAGCAGCCUGGUCUGAUAUAGAAACUCUGUUACAGAAUUUGAGAG